rnacentral:rRNA from 1 species
UGGGGAAUAUUGCACAAUGGGCGCAAGCCUGAUGCAGCCAUGCCGCGUGUAUGAAGAAGGCCUUCGGGUUGUAAAGUACUUUCAGCGGGGAGGAAGGCGGUGAGGUUAAUAACCUCACCGAUUGACGUUACCCGCAGAAGAAGCACCGGCUAACUCCGUGCCAGCAGCCGCGGUAAUACGGAGGGUGCAAGCGUUAAUCGGAAUUACUGGGCGUAAAGCGCACGCAGGCGGUCUGUCAAGUCGGAUGUGAAAUCCCCGGGCUCAACCUGGGAACUGCAUUCGAAACUGGCAGGCUAGAGUCUUGUAGAGGGGGGUAGAAUUCCAGGUGUAGCGGUGAAAUGCGUAGAGAUCUGGAGGAAUACCGGUGGCGAAGGCGGCCCCCUGGACAAAGACUGACGCUCAGGUGCGAAAGCGUGGGGAGCAAACAGG